rnacentral:rRNA from 1 species
CUAAAAUCUAGCCCACAAAUUCACAUGCCCACCCUCUACCAAAGCAACCAAAUAAAACAUUUUAACACCUUAGUACAGGCGAUCGAAAAACUUCUAAGCGCUUCAGAUAAAGUACCGCAAGGGAAAUAUGAAAUAGAAAUGAAAUAACCCUAAAGCCCCAAACAGCAGAGACAAUACCUCGUACCUUUUGCAUCAUGGUCUAGCCAGUCUACUCAAGCAAAAUGAAACUUUCAGUUUGACUCCCCGAAACCAAGCGAGCUACUUCAGAACAGCCAAAAGGGCCAACCCGUCUCUGUUGCAAAAGAGUGGGAAGAUUCUCAAGUAGAGGUGACAAGCCUACCGAGCCAGGAGAUAGCUGGUUGUUCAAGAAAAGAGUUUUAGCUCUACCUUAAGUUUUUUUGUUAAACUGAACAAGACCUCAGACUUAAGAGCUAUUCAAAUAAGGCACAGCUUAUUUGAAACAGGACACAACCUACAACAUAGGGUAACCAAGAGUGACUCAAAUAAAGUGGGCCUAAAAGCAGCCAUCUUUAAAAAAGCGUUAAAGCUUAACUACCCCCUCACUCACAAUACCUAAAGCCCUCACUAACCCCUCAUCACUAUUGAACAACUUUAUACUCAUAUAAAAGCUAUCAUGCUAGAACUAGUAACAAGAAACUGCCUUUCUCCUAAAUGUAAGUAUACACCAAAAUAAACUCUGUUGGUUAUUAACGUAAAUGCUAAACUAUAGUAACACCCACUAGAAAACCCUAUAACUCCUAACGUUAACCUUACACCAGAACAUUCCAGGAAAGAUUAAAAGAAAAAGAAGGAACUCGGCAAAUCAUAGCCUCGCCUGUUUACCAAAAACAUCGCCUCUUGCAAAACAUAAGAGGUCCAGCCUGCCCAGUGACAAAGUUCAACGGCCGCGGUACCCUAACCGUGCGAAGGUAGCAUAAUCACUUGUUCUUUAAAUGAGGACUCGUAUCAACGGCACUACGAGGGCUAUACUGUCUCCUUUUUCCAAUCAGUGAAACUGAUCUCCCCGUGAAGAAGCGGGGAUCAAAAUAUAAGACGAGAAGACCCCAUGGAGCUUUAAACUCUCUGUACACUUCUGUGUUCCCACAUCAUUAGACAUAAGAAAUCUGUACACUAGUUUUAGGUUGGGGGGACCACGGAGUACAAUUUAACCUCCAUAACAAAUGGGCUAAUUACCCUUAUCCACGAGACACACCUCUAAGAAUUAUUAAACUAAUGCUUAUGACCCGAUAUUCGAUCAAUGAACCAAGUUACCCUGGGGAUAACAGCGCAAUCUACUUCAAGAGCCCAUAUCGACAAGUAGGUUUACGACCUCGAUGUUGGAUCAGGGUAUCCCGGUGGUGCAGCCGCUACCAAUGGUUCGUUUGUUCAACGAUUAAAACCCUACGUGAUCUGAGUUCAGACCGGAGCAAUCCAGGUCGGUUUCUAUCUAUAAAGCGCUUCUCCCAGUACGAAAGGACCGGAGCAACAUGGCCAAUGCCCCAACAAGCCAUCACCUAUCACUAAUGAAACUAUCUCAAUUGACCAAGACCUAUUACCCUCCCCUAAACCAGGGUAG